GGGAGGGGAGGGGGGGGAUGUACAGCUGGAGCAAGAGAGAAGUGAAGAAUAACAGAACCCUCUGAUGUGUGUGUUUGUGUGUUGGAACAUGGAGCCUCUCUCUCUCUUUUCGCCCCCCAUUCUCCCCCCAUCACAGGAGCAGUGCUGGAUCCUGUCCACAUUGUCGAUUGUGCCAUUCUUCAAAUGUACUUUUCGGUUUCCGCCCAUAAAUUUUUUAGCAUCCCCAUUAAGUAUAAGGUAAUUGCAUUGGCUCUAUAUAACGCCCCGAGCUACGAGACUAAUUAAAGCAGAAACAGGAGUUUAGGCAUAUUUAUUAAGAAGACUUCGAUUAAUUAUGGAAGACAGACGUGUGACUUUAAAUGAGAGAUAUUAAGAGAGAGAUGAUCCUCAUCCUCCAGCACCCAGACCCUUAUAGACAGCCGAAGGCUGGGAGGGAGAGAGAAGGAGAAAGAGAGAGAGGCAUGGAGUGAGAGAAGGAGAAGGAGAGAGAGGCAUGGCGUGAGAGAAGGAGAAGGAGAGAGAGGCAUGGCGUGAGAGAAGGAGAAGGAGAGAGAGGCAUGGCGUGAGAGAAGGAGAAGGAGAGAAAUAGGCAUGGAGUGAGAGAAGGAGAAAGAGAGAGAGGCAUGGAGUGAGAGAGAAGGAGAAGGAGAGAGAGGCAUGGCAUGAGAGAGAAGGAGAAAGAGAGAAAUAGGCAUGGAGUGAGAGAAGGAGAAAGAGAGAAAUAGGCAUGGAGUGAGAGAAGGAGAAAGAGAGAAAUAGGCAUGGAGUGAGAGAAGGAGAAAGAGAGAAAUAGGCAUGGAGUGAGAGAAGGAGAAAGAGAAAUAGGCAUGGAGUGAGAGAAGGAGAAAGAGAGAAAUAGGCAUGGAGUGAGAGAAGGAGAAAGAGAGAAAUAGGCAUGGAGUGAGAGAAGGAGAAAGAGAGAAAUAGGCAUGGAGUGAGAGAAGGAGAAAGAGAGAAAUAGGCAUGGAGUGAGAGAAGGAGAAAGAGAAAUAGGCAUGGAGUGAGAGAAAAGGAGAAGGAGAGAGAGGCAUGAAGUGAGAGAAGGAGGAGAGAGAGGCUUGGAGUGAGAGAAGGAGAAGGAGAGAGAGGCAUGGAGUAAGAGAAGGAGAAGGAGAGAGAAGCAUGGAGUGAGAGAGAAGGGGAAAGAGAGAGGCAUGGAGUGAGAGAGAAGGGGAAAGAGAGAGAUAGGCAUGGAGUGAGAGAGAAGGGGGAAAGAGAGAGACAUAGCCACAGAGAGAGAGGGUACCGAAACACACAGGGGGCUUUGUUCCCCCAGCAGCAUGUAUGUGUGCAGUGAGUUCCGCUGUUCUCUCUCCGAGCAAAAGGCCACAGGGCAGACGUGAGGCCGUGACUGAUGCCAAAGAAAUGUGUCAGAGAGCACGUGGCGAGGACGGGCAGCGGGAGCUUUGUCAACCCUGCCUCCCUGCCACUCCAGACCAUUAUAUAGCCUAAUUGGCUCCUACAUUAUGGGAUUGUGUUAGGGAGGUUGACAGCCAUGGUUUUCCUGGUGAAUAGGACUUAAAACAACAUGUGCUGUGGAGGGCUGACUGUUUCUGGGCUGAAGAGAGGAGCGAAAAGGAGAGGGGAGAGAAAGUGAGAGGAGGACAGGAGAAGAGAGAGAGAGGCAUGGAGUGAGAGAGAAGGGGACGUUUGUCGUCUAGGGUAGAGGAGGUGUCAGGCCGAUGCAGGUGCACCUGACAGGGCGCUCGUCUGUUCCCAUGGUUUCAGCCCCGUUGGUGGGGGUGGUGGUGAGUAGGGGGAGCAGGGCAGGAGGUGAUGACAGGCCCGGUGGCCUCAGGGCACCUCACACUGUGAUACAUUUAGCUUCUUAAUGCCACUUCCAAUGAUCCCACUAACUCUCCUGUAUUACUACGCAUAAACAUUUUAUCAGCUGAAUAAUGUUGUGGAAGUGGAGAAGAGCAGGAGGGUCAUCUCCAACCCCCAGUUCAGUUUAGUUCAGUUCAAACCGAGACAGUGGUUGUCAGCCACUGUUUUUUGAGGCCAUCACAAUAAAUUGUCCAAUGUACCGCAAUUGUGAUGGUUGCGGUAGAUUUUUUAAAAAGUUUUACAAAAGUGUUUUUUCAGGCUCUGCUUUCUUCAGUUUGUCUCGUACGUGUCCCGUCUUAUACCUUAGCCAAACAAUGCACUUGUAUCUUCUAUUGAGUUAAAGCGGCACUUAAAUGGAAACAAGUGUUUAAGAAUUUAGUGAUUACAUAAGAGGGUUGUUACGUUCAGAGUGCUGGGGUCUUUCUGGUGCAUUCAUCCUUGCCAUGCGUCGACGCCACUGCAGCUACAGUCCUGCUGUCAGACAAGCGUGACUGGAUUUGUUCUUCCUCAGGAAGAUGUUGGUGUUUCAGAGAAAUGCAGGGCCCGGAUCAGGAUUAGAAAGUACCAUAAUGUGUAUGGUAUUCAAUUCUCCUGCACUGUAAUCCAAUUGAGAUUGAGACAAUAAUAACGAGUGUAGCUGUGACAGCUUCUUCCUGACUGCGCC
ensembl:lncRNA